rnacentral:rRNA from 1 species
GACGAACGCUGGCGGCGUGCCUAAUACAUGCAAGUAGAACGCUGAAGGAGGAGCUUGCUCUUCUGGAUGAGUUGCGAACGGGUGAGUAACGCGUAGGUAACCUGCCUGGUAGCGGGGGAUAACUAUUGGAAACGAUAGCUAAUACCGCAUAAGAGUAGAUGUUGCAUGACAUUUACUUAAAAGGUGCAAUUGCAUCACUACCAGAUGGACCUGCGUUGUAUUAGCUAGUUGGUGGGGUAACGGCUUACCAAGGCGACGAUACAUAGCCGACCAGAGAGGGUGAUCGGCCACACUGGGACUGAGACACGGCCCAGACUCCUACGGGAGGCAGCAGUAGGGAAUCUUCGGCAAUGGACGGAAGUCUGACCGAGCAACGCCGCGUGAGUGAAGAAGGUUUUCGGAUCGUAAAGCUCUGUUGUAAGAGAAGAACGAGUGUGAGAGUGGAAAGUUCACACUGUGACGGUAUCUUACCAGAAAGGGACGGCUAACUACGUG